AGAGUUUGAUCCUGGCUCAGGACAAACGCUGGCGGCGUGCGUAACACAUGCAAGUCGAACGGGGCGGCGGCCUUCGGGGCGCUGUCGAGUGGCGGACGGGUGCGUAACACGUGGAUGACCUGCCCUGGUGUGGGGGAUACCCACUAGAAAUAGUGGCUAAUACCGCAUAGGCUGCGGUGCUUGCGGGCACCGUAGCAAAGCCUCCGGCAACGGAGGCGCAGCAGGAGGGGUCCGCGGCCGAUUAGCUAGUUGGUGUGGUAAGAGCGCACCAAGGCGACGAUCGGUAGCUGGUCUGAGAGGAUGAUCAGCCACACUGGGAUUGAGAACGGCCCAGACUCCUACGGGGGGCAGCAGUGAGGAAUCUUCCGCAAUGGGCGCAAGCCUGACGGAGCAACGCCGCGUGGAGGAUGACGGCCUUCGGGUUGUAAACUCCUUUUCUAUCCGACGAGAACGGACGGUAGGGUAGGAAGAAGUCUCGGCUAACUACGUGCCAGCAGCCGCGGUAAUACGUAGGAGACGAGCGUUGUCCGGAGUUACUGGGCGUAAAGGGUGCGCAGGCGGCUUCGCGCGUGUGCGGUGAAAUCUCCUGGCUCAACUGGGAGGGUGCCGUGCAGACGGCGGAGCUUGAGGGUCGGAGAGGGGCGUGGAAUUCCGGGUGGAGCGGUGAAAUGCGUAGAGAUCCGGAGGAACACCGACGGCGAAGGCAGCGCCCUGGCCGACAUCUGACGCUCAGGCACGAAAGCUGGGGGAGCGAACAGGAUUAGAUACCCUGGUAGUCCCAGCUGUAAACGAUGUCCACCGGGUGCUGGGGGUAUCGACCCCCUCGGUGCCGCAGCUAACGUGAUGAGUGGACCGCCUGGGGAGUACGGCCGCAAGGUUAAAACUCAAAGGAAUUGACGG
rnacentral:rRNA from 1 species